rnacentral:tRNA from 1 species
GGCGGAAUAGUUUAACAGGUAAAACAGUAGAAUCAUAAUCUUCAAUAAAAGGUUCGAGUCCUUUUUCCGCUA